AGAGAGCGCUGGGAGAGAGAGAGAGAGAGAGAGAGAGAGAGAGAGUCGACGAGAGAACGAAGGGCAUCCGGCGAGGAUCCGGGUUUUCAGUGAGAGAUGGUGCCGAAAAAUGAAGCGACUGAAGAGCCGUUGGCAGAUUCUCCGACUUCUGUGCUUGAAGAUGAGGACAUCUGCAAGGAGAAAGUCGUUGUAGAAGUGUACGAAGAAACAUUUCUCGAGGCUAAAAAUUUUUAUUCGCCGG